rnacentral:tRNA from 1 species
GCAAUGGUGGUUCAACGGUAGAAUUCCUGCCUUUCAUGCAGGAGACCUGGGUUUUAUUACUGGGCAAUGUA